rnacentral:lncRNA from 1 species
CAGAAGUAUGACGUUUUAUUAAUCGACAAUAUGGAGAGAAAUACAAUAACUCAACAAUUUUUGAUUGAACAAAAGUGAAAGAGAAUACAACUAUUUAUAAGUACGUGGUAUAACAUAAAGAUGAAAAUAAAGUGAAAUAAGAAAAUAAUAUAUUUCCAUGAAAAUCAUGCGAAAUAUAAGGAACAAUUUAUUUCAAAAAUAAAAAAAUAAAAAUCCAUCCUAAUUUGAGUCAUAAACCUAACAAUCUCCACAUUGACCCAAAUUCCGGUGCAACGAACGAAACUCCAAAAUUUCAAAUCCAUUUGCAUCGAAAUAGUCAAUGUCCUUAAUACAGUAACCAAAAUUCUCCAAACCAAACCAUAGUCCUCUGCAAGGCAUCCACAAGCGACACCUAACUCCAAAUCCUGAGUUUCCAAAAUUCAACCAAGGAAUUACUGUUGACCAAACAGGGUUGAAAUAUACCCUGUAGCAGAAACCAUAUCACAUACUCGAUUAGAAGACCCAUUGCUAGAACUGUCGCCUUCAAUGGCCCCAAAAGCAUUCCAGUCUUUAUUGACACUACGGUACCUACGCUCUAUGAGUCCAACCUUAGCAAAUGAACACGAUGUAUCCACUGAAAUUGUUGGCAAAGCGGAAUUACUAAUGCUUCUUGAGCAAUGUUCUGAACCAAUCCAAAGCCCUUCACAAUAUAUACUAUACCAAAAUGAAUAUCCACCACGGUACUGAACUUGUCUCGAUGUCUUUUAACUGGUUCCAUGCUUCCCUGCAUGAUGUACAUAUGAGACUUUUUCCGUCCAUCCAAUGCAACCCAAACACCCAUUCGGACCUUCAAACUCUACCUCCACCUCCACCAGGGAAUUUAUACCCUCUUGCGUCUAGAGUACUAAGUGAGAUGAGAUUCACUUUUAUGUCCGGAACAUGUCGAACCUGAUCAAUUGUUCUGACUGUCCCAUCCUGCUACCUAAAUCUGACUCGACUGAUCUCAACAAUACAGCAAGACUGGUUAUUUUUCAUUACAACUCUACCUUGCUGAGUAGCCUCAUAUGUCUGAAAGAAACUUCGAUUGGAACACAUAUGAUGCGAACACGCCGAAUCGAGAAUCCACUCUUCGUCAAGCCUAGAUUCCACGUCAGAUAUCACGAUCAACAUCACAUCUCUAACGUUUGAAAAAUUCUCAACUACAUUUGUUUCGUCUGAAGUCAAAGGUUGCGCUCCACGAUUUGCAGCUAAAUCACCUUUAGCCUGCAUCUUAUCACAAUCCUUUUGAAUAUGUCCCUUAUGUCUGUAGUAGAAGCAAAGCAAAUUGCUGUUAUUCUUCGAUCUGCCCCUCCAUCAACUACCAUGAGAUAUAUGAACUUCCUCAUCCCUUGAUGUAGCUCAACCAAAUGUUUCAACUUCUCUUUUGAGUGCAAAGCAUCAUAGACGUCAUCUAUAGUCAAAGUAUCUCUACUAUACAAAAUGGUGUCACAAAAUGAUGCAUAAGAGUCAGGCAGCGAACAUAACAGGAUCAAGGCAAGAUCCUCUUCAUCGUACUUAACCUUCAACGUUUCCAAAUCUGCGAUGAUUUCCUUGAACACGACAAUAUGAUCUUCCAACUACUCUCCUUUCGCCAUGCGAUGGGAAUACAACUUCUGCUUUAGAGCCAGUUUAUUGCUAAGACUCUUGGUCAUACAUAAUUGCUCCAGUUUCAACCACAAAGUAGCUGUUGUUUUCUCCUUCAAUACAUCCUUCAAAAUAUUAUUGGAUAGAUGAAGAUAGAUCAACGACAAAGCCUUCCGAUUCCUCUGUUGUUUCUCCUUCGUUGUCUAAUCAGUUGACAUCUUCUCAAAGCCCAAUAGCGUGUUGUCCAAAUUCAACUGCGCCAGAAUAGACCCCAUAUUUACAUGCCGCAAAGAAAACCUUGUAUUGAGAUCCAACAGCGGAAUGUCAUAUUUCAUGGUAGUCAUCUUUAAUAAAAACCCAAUCAAUCCUCAGAAGAAGAACGAAGCUCUGAUACCACUUGUUGGACCUGAAAUGAUUGUAGUGAAUGAGAUUAAUGACGCGAUAUGAAAUAAUGAAAACCGCAACAAGAAACAAGAUUUAAAAGUAAAGAAAUUAACAAAGAGAAUUAAUUGCUGAAGUAUAACGUUUUAUUAAUAGACAAUAUGGAGAGAAAUACAAGAACUCAGCAAUUCUUGCUUGAAUAAAGUUGAAAGAGAAGACUAAUAUUUAUAAGUACAUGACAUAGUAUAAAGAUGGAAAUAAUUUGUAAUAAGGACAUAAUAUAUUUUCAUAAAAAUCACGUAAAAUAUAAGGAAACAAAUUUUCCCACAUGAAAAUAAGGAAAAAAUCUAUUUCAAAAAAUAAAAAAAUUUACCCUAAUUUGGAUCAUAAACCCAACACCAUUAUGGUGAACGAUGUUUGCCAGCUGAAUAAUGGGAUUUAUAUUUCCUUGGAAUGGCAAUGAAAAUAGUACUAAAACGCAUCUUUUACCAUGUUGCUGCAUAUUCUGACCACGAUUAUCCAUGAUGAAGAGACACUACUGCUCGCCUCAGUAUGCUGUUUC